UUAGCCCACUGGGUAGGAGAACUGAUUGAGUAAGCAUACUUGAACACAGAUCAAGAGCAAGAGCUUCUUCCAUAAAAAGACAUUCAAACUCUAUGUGUACCUCCUUGACAGCACUAACAGUGGAGGGUUCUUGUGGACAUUUGUGAAGAAGCAACAUGCUAGAAAUCUAAGGCAAGUGAUUCUCAACCUCAACAAAGGAAGGUCUCCAAACACAGGGAAAUUCAACAUUUGUUACCAAAAGCAAAGCCCAUUUGAGUACUCAACACUUCAGGCUUGUAGCAGCAUGG